rnacentral:rRNA from 1 species
UACGUAGGGGGCUAGCGUUGUCCGGAAUCAUUGGGCGUAAAGCGCGCGUAGGCGGCCCGGUAAGUCCGCUGUAAAAGUCAAAGGCUCAACCUUUGAAUGUCAGUGGAUACUGCCGGGCUAGAGUCCGGAAGAGGCGAGUGGAACUCCUGGUGUAGCGGUGGAAUGCGCAGAUAUCAGGAAGAACACCAACGGCGAAGGCAGCUCGCUGGGACGGAACUGACGCUAAGGCGCGAAAGCGCGGGGAGCGAACAGG